UACCAGACUCCUACGGGAGGCAGCAGUGGGGAAUAUUGCACAAUGGGGGGAACCCUGAUGCAGCGACGCCGCGUGAGUGAAGAAGUAUUUCGGUAUGUAAAGCUCUAUCAGCAGGGAAGAAAAUGACGGUACCUGACUAAGAAGCCCCGGCUAACUACGUGCCAGCAGCCGCGGUAAUACGUAGGGGGCAAGCGUUAUCCGGAUUUACUGGGUGUAAAGGGAGCGUAGACGGUUAUGCAAGUCUGAAGUGGAAGCCCAGGGCUCAACCAUGGGACUGCUUUGGAAACUGUAAAGCUGGAGUGCAGGAGAGGUAAGCGGAAUUCCUAGUGUAGCGGUGAAAUGCGUAGAUAUUAGGAGGAACACCAGUGGCGAAGGCGGCUUACUGGACUGUAACUGACGUUGAGGCUCGAAGGCGUGGGGAGCAAACAGGAUUAGAUACCCGGGUA
rnacentral:rRNA from 1 species